rnacentral:lncRNA from 1 species
ACGAAGGAAGCAGGGGCUGGGGCUUGGAGUUCAUUGGAUUGGCUGAUCAGGCUCUUCCCUAACAGCCAAGAAGGAAACGGAUUACCUGUGGCUGUGACUAAGAAGCCCAUGGCCAACAGGACCUGCAUCGUAUUCUGCCAAGAAGUAUAAGAAUAGUUCCAGCUUUCAUGGUGGUUUUACUCCAGUUUGGAAACAGAUUGGGAGCUUGGAGUCUGAAAUACACAUCUUGGCAGUUGACAAAUACUUUGAAAGGAAAAUUUGAUGAAUUUUCCCU